UUCAAAUGGGAUGAGUAGCAGGACACGUGUGCUAAAUGCAUCUGAGGAAACGUAUCAAAAGCUUUCAGUCCCAAUAAGCAGUGUACGCAGAAAUAACACACCGUUUGAGUUGACACCAGACCGUUUUUUUGGCCAGUGUGGUUGAAGCAUCAGGAAGAUCCAGAAUUCCAGGUUAACCAAGCUGGUAAUAUAGAAUGCAUAAAACUGAAAAUGCGUUGGAAAGACGAAAGUAGACCGUGCUGGAUAUACACCUAUUAAUUGUUUUACUGGAUACGCAGCAACGCCAUGGUGGGUGUGGAUUUCCAAUGGAUGACAUCACGAGCUCAAAUGGGGUGGCCACAAUCAGCCUGGUACCAGCAACACAACCAGAGAAGGAAGUCAAGCAGGACGUCAAUGAUGCUGUGCUUCAGGAGUGAGUUGCUGAGGUGCAGCAGUGGCCUGAAGUAGGAGAGGUAAAAGGCCGCCACCACCUACUUCAGGAGCAGCCUGGUCUCCUGACGUUGACACCUGAUCCCUCACCUCUGAACCUAUCCAGGGAAAUAUGAUUUGCCUGAUGACACUAGUUGAGAUUUCGGCACAUUUGUUGCCAUGUUUCCUCACCUCCAUUUCUUCCGGUCCUAGACUAUGGCGACAUCAUCAUCAAUUCAGAAAUUGAUCUGAGGACCUCUUUACUGAGGAAUGUGGUUGUUCUACAUGAUUGUUGUUUGUAUUUUCUAUGCUGCUGUGAUUUAUGUGUAGUUGUGAGUUGCAAAAGAGUCUUUGGUCUCAAUGGGACUGGUAAAAUAAAUAAAGUAAAGGUCUUAAUAAACAUUCAU